ACUUAUUCGGUCAAGUUUUAUGGUAAAGAGAAACUUACCGCGAAGAUUUUGAGCAUAUAUAUGAUUGAAUUGGAUGAAAACUCGCAAAAUUAUCCAUCCAUAAAAGUUCGUGCCUAGUACUGAUAUAGUACUAUAUAUGUAACUUGUGCAGUUUUGCUUUAAUUUUUGCUCACUAUUUGCAUAAAAAGCAAAUUAUUACAGACCAUAGAUGAUAGACCCUCAUCCAGUGCUCUCAUCAGUUUACUUCUCUAACAAGGAAGGGGGGGGGGGGUACAUAACAGUUCAUUUUUCAUAAUUAUGAGGACAGAGCAGAUGAUGAUGAGAGAUGCAAGUAUAAAACACCAUUCACAAGGCUAGAUGUUAACAUAUAGCACAGUAUUUCUGGCAAUAAAACGCUCCAACUGACCAUUUCACACGAACUUUUAUCGCUGGAUAAUUUUGCGAUUUUUCAUCCAAUUCAAUCGUAUAUAUGCUCAAAAUCUUUGCGGUAAGUUUCUCCUUACCAUAAAAUUUGACCG